GACGAACGCUGGCGGCGUGCUUAACACAUGCAAGUCGAACGGAAAGGCCCUGCUUUUGUGGGGUGCUCGAGUGGCGAACGGGUGAGUAACACGUGAGUAACCUGUCCUUGACUUUGGGAUAACUUCAGGAAACUGGGGCUAAUACCGGAUAUGAGCUCCUGCUGCAUGGUGGGGGUUGGAAAGUUUCGGCGGUUGGGGAUGGACUCGCGGGUUAUCAGCUUGUUGGUGGGGUAGUGGCUUACCAAGGCUUUGACGGGUAGCCGGCCUGAGAGGGUGACCGGCCACAUUGGGACUCGGAUACGGCCCAGACUCCUACGGGAGGCAGCAGUGGGGAAUAUUGCACAAUGGGCGGAAGCCUGAUGCAGCAACGCCGCGUGCGGGAUGACGGCCUUCGGGUUGUAAACCGCUUUCGCCUGUGACGAAGCGUGAGUGACGGUAAUGGGUAAAGAAGCACCGGCUAACUACGUG
rnacentral:rRNA from 1 species